GAUGAAGAACGUAGCGAAAUGCGAUAACUAAUGUGAAUUGCAGAAUUCAGUGAAUCAUCAAGUCUUUGAACGCACAUUGCGCCCCCUGGUAUUCCGGGGGGCAUGCCUGUCCGAGCGUCAUUGCUGCCCUCAAGCACGGCUUGUGUGUUGGGCUCCGUCCCCCCGGGGACGGGCCCGAAAGGCAGCGGCGGCACCGAGUCCGGUCCUCGAGCGUAUGGGGCUUUGUCACCCGCUCUGUAGGCCCGGCCGGCGCCAGCCGACAACCCAUCAUCCUUUUCAGGUUGACCUCGGAUCAGGUAGGGAUACCCGCUGAACUUAAGCAUAUCAAUAAGCGGAGGA
rnacentral:misc_RNA from 1 species